CGACGUGAGGAACCUGCCUUUCAGAGGGGGACAACAGUUGGAAACGACUGCUAAUACCGCAUAAUAUAUGUUUGUCGCAUGGCAGAUAUAUCAAAGAUUUAUCGCUGAGAGAUGGCCUCGCGUCUGAUUAGCUAGUUGGUAGGGUAAUGGCCUACCAAGGCGACGAUCAGUAGCCGGACUGAGAGGUUGGCCGGCCACAUUGGGACUGAGAUACGGCCCAGACUCCUACGGAAGGCAGCAG
rnacentral:rRNA from 1 species